AUCCAUCUGACGAGUCCCUAAUAGGACGAAAUUCGAGUCCUGCAU
rnacentral:hammerhead_ribozyme from 1 species